AUGCCAUUGUUGAUUCUGGAGGCAUCAAGGACCACAAAGGUAGACCUAUUGAUGGAUAAGGCAGAAAGAGAAAGGAUUAAGCGAGAACCAACCAUUUUCCUAGAAUGGACCGGAAAUAUAUCGAUUGGAUCGAAUAUUCCUGCUGCUUUUUCGAGUCAUGAUGAUAAAAUCAUAAGUGGAAGUGGUAUAACUAAAGGGCACCAUGCCUUAGUUACUUGUUUGUGGCAAUUCUACUUUGAACCCUUAUCCUAA